UACGUAGGUGGCAAGCGUUGUCCGGAAUUAUUGGGCGUAAAGCGCGCGCAGGCGGUCCCUUAAGUCUGAUGUGAAAGCCCACGGCUCAACCGUGGAGGGUCAUUGGAAACUGGGGGACUUGAGUGCAGAAGAGGAAAGUGGAAUUCCAUGUGUAGCGGUGAAAUGCGUAGAGAUGUGGAGGAACACCAGUGGCGAAGGCGACUUUCUGGUCUGUAACUGACGCGGAGGCGCGAAAGCGUGGGGAGCAAACAGG
rnacentral:rRNA from 1 species